AACGAACGCUGGCGGCAUGCCUAACACAUGCAAGUCGAACGAGACCUUCGGGUCUAGUGGCGCACGGGUGCGUAACGCGUGGGAACCUGCCUUUAGGUUCGGAAUAACUCCCCGAAAGGGGUGCUAAUACCGGAUCAUGUCUCCGGACCAAAGAUUUAGCGCCUUUGGAUGGGCCCGCGUUGGAUUAGCUAGUUGGUAGGGUAAAAGCCUACCAAGGCGACGAUCCAUAGCUGGUUUGAGAGGAUGAUCAGCCACACUGGGACUGAGACACGGCCCAGAAUCCUACGGGAGGCAGCAGUGGGGAAUAUUGGACAAUGGGCGAAGGCCUGAUCCAGCAAUGCCGCGUGAGUGAUGAAGGCUUUAGGGUUGUAAAGCUCUUUUACCCGGGAUGAUAAUGACAGUACCGGGAGAAUAAGCUCCGGCUAACUCCGUG
rnacentral:rRNA from 1 species